AAGGUUCAACUGUCUCCUGCAUCCAAUCCAUUAAACUGACCUCCCCGUGCAGAGGCGGGGAUACAACCAUAAGACNAGAAGACCCUAUGGAGCUUAAAACUAAAGGCAACUGCCAACUAUAAUCAUACCCGUAAGGAAAUAAUAAUAAGACAAGCAGAAACUGACCUAAAGUUUUCGGUUGGGGCGACCAUGGAGAAUAAAAAAUCCUCCUUGAAGAAUAGGGCCUACCACCCUUAACCAAGAACCACCAUUCUAAGUAACAAAAUUUAUGACUGCAAUUGAUCCAGUCUGACUGAUCAACGAACCAAGUUACCCUAGGGAUAACAGCGCAAUCCAUUUCAAAAGUUCCUAUCGACAAAUGGGUUUACGAC
rnacentral:rRNA from 1 species